UCCAACAUUAGAGUGGGGUCAAAUGAUUUAUACGAAGGUAUUGGUUGCUUGUCUCUUUAGAGUUGGGCAGACUGCGUGAGGCUGAUUUCACAGAGCAACGAAUAGUAUCUACUCUAUGCAGUGGA
rnacentral:SRP_RNA from 1 species